rnacentral:misc_RNA from 1 species
UUUUUGAUUUGCUUUGCAUGGCAGGCUCCCUGUACCUAUGUGCGGCCAACUGUCAUGGGGCUGUCUUCGCAUUGUCCCUUUGAUUAUUAUUUUGGCUCGUUAGAUGGCUAUUCGCUUGGUUGCUUGUGUGGAUUUAUCCUGGGCGGAAGCACGAUUGUCCCGUCAUUAUGUUUUUAGCUUACUUUGUUGAUGCUAUGCAUCGAUGAGUGCCCGAGGUGUUAGCAAAUCCCUUGCGUUGCAAUGCACUUGUGACAUGGAACUGUUAUAGGAUGUUUGCUGGGUCUCACGGAUAUCAGUCCCGAUAUUGAGAGGUCUACGGGCUUCAAGCUUAUAGACCCAAGAGGAUGCCCCUACACAUAUCGUUGUUUUUGAUGCUUCGCUGACAUAUUGUGGUUCCAACAUCAUGUUGGGGGAUCUUAUUCAGGACAAAGAUUAUGUGUCUGUGCGUGCCUCUUUGACCGAAUGACAUGCGAUUGCUGGUUAGCAUCGUCGUAGG